rnacentral:lncRNA from 1 species
CUGUAUGAUACCCUUUUCUGAGUUGACUAUAAUUAUGGCUUAUUUAUUUUCACAGCUGUGGUGUUUACACUUGGUACUCUUUAAACCAAAUAAAAACUGUUAUAAUUCUUUAUUACAGUUGCACUUGGCACUUUUUUUGAACAUUGCUGUAAAUAAUGUCUUCAGGUCCCUGAUGAAGAUGCAGCUUCACCUGUUGAGCUGGCAAAAGUUCACCUGUUGAGCUGGCAAAAGCUUACAUGGACAAUAGGUCUUCAAAA